UAAAAGAAAACGUGUUAAAGGUGAGCUACGCAUCCCCAAUAAGUCCAGACACUUCCGGACAAAUCUGAUAUGUCGUGCACAAUGCACCGCAUUAUCUAGGAUUAUUUCUACACUGACAUCGGAUCAGCUACGACUAUUUGAGAUGACAUGUUUCAGGUAUCUCCUUCGUUUAUCCUAAACCAAAUUCUCUGGGAUAUUGAUUCAUACAUUUCUACUACGACAACUACAUUGACCCUUUGUCAGAGAUGAGUUUUGGUUUAGGGGUAGCGGGGUUGAUGUGAGAUUUAUCCCGUUUGAGUUUACUCUGGUGACGGGUCUUUCAUUUAAUCGACGCAUUGAUAUCUCUUCAUAUAUUCCUAGCUCCUCCUAAUAUAGGAUAAGGGAUACGUAUUUUCGAGGUUGUCCGAAGGUGCAGUAUCAUAACCUAGAGCGUGUUUUCUUGUCGAGAUCAUAGGGGGAUGACGAUAUUGACGCUGUCAAGAUGACCUUGUUGUAUGUUCUUCACAUAGUUUUGUUAGGGAAUGAUUGACGAAAAAAGGUGUCUUCAGAACAUUUACAGUUGGUUGAUCAUCUGAACGGGUUUAAUUCCUACCCCUAGGGCGUUGUCGUGUGGCAGAUGACGUAUGAGUCUAUAUCACAGGCGAGUGACAGAGUAUACUCUAAACGGAUGUCUGAAAUACGUAAAUACGACAUCUACGGAUUUCCUUUCGUAUUUCAGUAUUGGAUGUAUGAGACUUUGGACACGUUGUACGAUAGGUUGACCUUAUUGAUAUCUAUGCGUCCCCACGGAUGUUUAGGUAGCGUAUGCGGGCUUCACUAGUUGGACUUAUAUAGGUCGUAUUUUCACUGAUGAUCUGGAGGAUGUCACAUUCCCUUUUCCUCCCUCACCAAUAGAGAAGGGUUUACCCUAGUAUGCUGAGAUUCGUGAAUACACCGGUUUACCUGAUGCUGAUUCCUCCUCAUCAUCUUCGGUUCCUCUCGCCAACCUCAGGGCUUUCAGAUAUACCGGUCGAGACUUCUGAGACACAUGAGGAGCCUAUUCAGUCUCCUGUUAUGGAGCAGCGUCUAUGUGCCCAUGUAGUUUAGAGCCUACUGACCAUAGACCAUUCUAGAGUGAAGGACCGUACUACCUAUCAUGCCAUCGAGAAGUGUCCCCCAUCCGUAUCACUUAGUAUUUUCAUAUUAGAUGCUACAUUGGCGCACUGGGUGCUACGAUUUUGCGUGAGAUUUCGAGUUUUCACGAUGAUAUGUCUUCACAGAUGACUUGAUUACGCGACGAUGUGGAUUUACAUAUGACUCGAUUACGCGACAAUGUGGCUCGAUUACAGGAUCGUAUGACUCGUUUAGAAAACAUCGUUAUGUAUACAUGUCUAGCCCCUGUCAUUCAGAAGAGGGACGACGAUCUCGGGACAACCUCCCUCAUUGAUACCGCAAUGUCAUCCCAUCAGUCACAUGAGGUAGUCGUCGGGAGGACGCACUGGUUUGGCCUUCUGUUGCAUCACCUGUCUGAGCUGAGUCUUCCUCAUAAAGGCCUUUCAGUCGGAUCUCUAGUUACUUCAGAUCAUCCAUUUGAGGGAACCCGCAUUGAGAUAUCAUUGAUCGAAGGUUCUCCCCGAAAACCUUUCCCAAAAGUUGAGGACGAGCGACUGUAGUUACUUGCUGAUAUCCCGAGCUUAAGCAAAAGGACAGUGGAUAUUAGUUCACUAGAGGAGGACUUUCAGGAUAACAUUUCUGAGGACAUCCACAUUGAGUCCGUCAAGGGAGCACACACGGUGGACUUGACCCUUAUUCAAGAUUCUCCAGCCAAACCUCAUCCCGCAUACAUGGGGAAGUUGAUUCAUACAGCAUAUGGUCGGAUCGUCUAGAAGGGUUCACUAGUUCGCACCCCAUAUACAAAUUCACUCAUAGGGGGGCAAAACGACAACUCAGGACCAUUCCAUCCAUUGCCUCAGAGCGUGAAGAAUCUUUCCUCACGUGGAUAGGCACGACGAUAUCGGGACGACCUCUCCCAUUGACAGGUCAAUACCAUCUCAUCAGCCGCAUGAGGUAGUCGUCACGAUGGGGCAUUGGUUGACCUUUCUGUUACAUCACUUGUCCGAUAUGAGGGUCUUCCUCAUGAAAGUCUUUCGGUCGAACUUCUGGUCGCUUCAAAUCUUUUACCUGAGGGACCCGCAUUGAGGUAUUAUCGAUCGAGGUUCUCCCCGAACACCUUUCUGGAAAGUUGAGGUGAGCGGUUAUGGUUACUUGCUGAUAUCUCCAGCUCCAAUAAAAUGACAAUGGAUAUUAGUUCACAAGAGGAGGACUUACAGGAGGAUGUUCUCGAUGCAAUCCAUGUUGAGGGGGCACGCACAGUGGACUUGACCAUGAUAUAGGAUUCUCCAACGAAACCUCAUUUAGCAUACAUGGAGAAGCUGGUUCGUACAGCACACGGUCAAAUAAUCCGAAUAGGUCUGCUCAUUCGUACCCCGUAUACAAAUCCAAUCAAAGGGAGGGCGAAAUGACAGCUUAUGACCAUUCCAUCCUCUCCCUCAAGGCGUGAGGAAUCUUUCCUCACAUGGUAAACCAGAGCUACGGCAUCCGACGUGCAUGAUGUUUACUUCAUCGAGUCAAAGUCGAAAGCUAGUUUCUGGUGGAUUGUGGUAGAGUUACACGAGUAGCUGACUGACGAUCGUAUGGAUUCCUUUUUAGCUAUAUUACAUCGGCACCAGGAUGAUCACUGUUCAACUGUUUCUCAACGUUGGACGACCGCCCACACAUUCUUCAUAAGCCAUGUUGAGAUGGCCUGGAAGAGUUGGCAAAGCACACACGAUGGGAAGUUUCAAUUUUCACAGCUCUUCACGAGGAUGGUUGAGGUGGAUUAUACCCCGAGAUUGUUUUACAAACCAUAGGGAUAAUCGACAAGGUUUACAUUCCUAUAAACUUGACUGCACACAUUGGGUGGUCGAAAUUAUAGAUUUUCGUGAUUGGUCAAUUAUGGUGUACGACUCAGAGGUAUCAUACACAGAGAAUAUAGGGUCUCUCGAGCGACGGAUGCGAUUGUACAUAUCAUUCAUACCAGCAUUAUUAGAGACAAUGAGUUUUUGGACAGCUUCUAGGCAGACUCUACGACGUGAUCCCCUCAUGUUACAUCGAGCGAUGGAUGUCCCUCAGUAGGGGGAAGGCUUCAGUGAUUGUGGCGUGUUUAUGUUACGUUUUUUUUGAGUGUUUAACAUUGUCACAGAGUGUCGAUUUUCCCCAAGAGUCGUUUACCUCUAUGAGUUGACGUUUAGCAACACAGUUGUAUCUCCACUAUAUCGAGUAGAUCACGGGUAUAUAUUUAGUUCACUCAUUCUGUUUAUUUUUAGCUAUUCAGAUAUUCUUAUGUAUAUAUCUAUUGUAUGUGCGUAUGUGUAUGAUGUAUUUUAUCUAUCAUUUUA